GCUCAUGGCCACACCUCCCUGAGCACGCCUGAUCUUGUCGGAUCUCGGAAGCAAAGCAGGGUCGGGCCUGGUUAGUACUUGAAUGGGAGACCGCCCGGGAAUACCGGGACCUGUAAGCG
rnacentral:rRNA from 1 species